UCGAACGAUGAAGCCCUUCGGGGUGGAUUAGUGGCGAACGGGUGAGUAACACGUGGGCAAUCUGCCCUUCACUCUGGGACAAGCCCUGGAAACGGGGUCUAAUACCGGAUAACACUCGCCGAGGCAUCUCGGGGGGUUGAAAGCUCCGGCGGUGAAGGAUGAGCCCGCGGCCUAUCAGCUUGUUGGUGAGGUAGAAGCUCACCAAGGCGACGACGGGUAGCCGGCCUGAGAGGGCGACCGGCCACACUGGGACUGAGACACGGCCCAGACUCCUACGGGAGGCAGCAGUGGGGAAUAUUGCACAAUGGGCGAAAGCCUGAUGCAGCGACGCCGCGUGAGGGAUGACGGCCUUCGGGUUGUAAACCUCUUUCAGCAGGGAAGAAGCGAAAGUGACGGUACCUGCAGAAGAAGCGCCGGCUAACUACGUGCCAGCAGCCGCGGUAAUACGUAGGGCGCAAGCGUUGUCCGGAAUUAUUGGGCGUAAAGAGCUCGUAGGCGGUCUGUCACGUCGGAUGUGAAAGCCCGGGGCUUAACCCCGGGUCUGCAUUCGAUACGGGCAGACUAGAGUGUGGUAGGGGAGAUCGGAAUUCCUGGUGUAGCGGUGAAAUGCGCAGAUAUCAGGAGGAACACCGGUGGCGAAGGCGGAUCUCUGGGCCAUUACUGACGCUGAGGAGCGAAAGCGUGGGGAGCGAACAGGAU
rnacentral:rRNA from 1 species